AACAGGAUUAGAUACCCUGGUAGUCCACGCCCUAAACGAUGCGAACUGGACGUUGGGAGCAACUUGGCUCUCAGUGUCGAAGCUAACGCGUUAAGCUCGCCGCCUGGGGAGUACGGUCGCAAGACUGAAACUCAAAGGAAUUGACGGGGGCCCGCACAAGCGGUGGAGUAUGUGGUUUAAUUCGAUGCAACGCGAAGAACCUUACCUGGCCUUGACAUCCACGGAACUUUCCAGAGAUGGAUUGGUGCCUUCGGGAACCGUGAGACAGGUGCUGCAUGGCUGUCGUCAGCUCGUGUCGUGAGAUGUUGGGUUAAGUCCCGCAACGAGCGCAACCCUUGUCCUUAGUUGUCAGCACGUAAUGGUGGGAACUCUAAGGAGACUGCCGGUGACAAACCGGAGGAAGGUGGGGAUGACGUCAAGUCCUCAUGGCCCUUACGGCCAGGGCUACACACGUACUACAAUGGUCGGUACAGAGGGUCGCAAAGCCGCGAGGUGGAGCCAAUCCCAGAAAACCGAUCCCAGUCCGGAUCGGAGUCUGCAACUCGACUCCGUGAAGUCGGAAUCGCUAGUAAUCGCGGAUCAGAAUGCCGCGGUGAAUACGUUCCCGGGCCUUGUACACAUCGCCCGUCACACCAUGGGAGUUGGUUGCUCCAGAAGUAGGUAGUCUAACCGCAAGGGGGACGCUUACCACGGAGUGGUCAAUGACUGGGGUGAAGUCGUAACAAGGUAACC
rnacentral:rRNA from 1 species